rnacentral:rRNA from 1 species
AUUGAACGCUGGCGGCAGGCCUAACACAUGCAAGUCGGGCGAGCGGCGGACGGGUGAGUAAUGUAUGGGAAUCUAGCUUAUGGAGGGGGAUAACUACGGGAAACUGUAGCUAAUACCGCGUACCAUAGGAGGAGCCCAAGUGGGAUUAGGUAUUUGGUAAGGUAAAGGCUCACCAAGCCGACGAUCUCGAGCAGGUCUGAGAGGAUGACCAGCCACACUUGGACUGAGACACGGCCCAGACUCCUACGGGAGGCAGCAGUGGGGAAUAUUGCGCAAUGGGGGCAACCUGACGCAGCCAUGCCGCGUGAAUGAAGAAGGCCUUCGGGUUGUAAAGUUCUUUCGGUAGCGAGGCGUUAACUACAGAAGAAGCACCGGCUAACUCCGUGCCAGCAGCCGCGGUAAUUC